rfam:Octopus bimaculoides Scaffold172117_contig_19, whole genome shotgun sequence.
GGCAGUUUAGUUUAAUGGUAAAACACUUGACGCUUAAUCACAGAGAUGUGAGUUCGAGUCUCAUGGCUGGCCA